rnacentral:lncRNA from 1 species
CGGGUUGAAGCCCGUAGGUGCCACUUUCUUGUUAGCAGAUGGAGCGGGUUGAAGCCCGUUUAGACCAAAAAUUUAUUUUGAGAGUUCAGAUACCUAAAUAACAUAUGUUUAAGUAUGGCUGGUGCAUUUUUAUGUCUAACUAUACUCUUAGUUAAGUUACUAAGUACUAAUCGAUUAUGCAGCGGUAGUGCUUAAGACUCAAAAAAAAAUGAAGUACAUUAUAUUAGCGUAGUCGUGCAACAAUAGUGCGUGCCGUGCCCGGCCGCCGGCCUCGAGCUACGAAUCAAACGUACUUAAUCAACGAGUAGGGUAGUAAAUCUCAUCCUAAAAAGUCUCUAAACCCUGCAAUUAACAAGCUAAUUAAUCAAGUAAUUAAUCAACAAUCUACACGUACACGUACAACCACACCUCCUUUCCUCCUACCCCUACACUACUACUACAACUCAACUCGUCGGACCGGAUGACGUCGACGACGUUACACUCGCCGGCGCCCGGCGACGGCGGGCCAUCACCGCACCAGGGGAUGCAGGGCG